rnacentral:rRNA from 1 species
GAUGAACGCUGGCGGCAUGCCUAAUACAUGCAAGUCGAACGAAGGACUUCUAAGAAGCUUGCUUCAAGGAAGGACUUAGUGGCGAACGGGUGAGUAACACGUAGGUAACCUGCCCAUGUACCCGGGAUAACAAAGGGAAACGUUUGCUAAAACCGGAUGAAUAAAUAGGAGGCAUCUUCUAAUUAUAAAAGCACCUAUGAGUGUGGACAUGGAUGGACCUGCGGCGUAUUAGCCAGUUGGCGGGGUAACGGCCCACCAAAGCGAUGAUACGUAGCCGGCCUGAGAGGGUAAACGGCCACACUGGGACUGAGACACGGCCCAGACUCCUACGGGAGGCAGCAGUAGGGAAUUUUCGUCAAUGGGGGGAACCCUGAACGAGCAAUGCCGCGUGAGUGAAGAAGGCCUUCGGGUCGUAAAGCUCUGUUGUAAGAGAAAAACGGUCAUUAUAGGGAAUGAUAAUGAAGUGAUGGUAUCUUACCAGAAAGCCACGGCUAACUACGUGCCAGCAGCCGCGGUAAUACGUAGGUGGCAAGCGUUAUCCGGAAUGAUUGGGCGUAAAGGGUGCGCAGGCGGUCCAGAAAGUCUGUAGUAAAAGGCAUUGGCUCAACCAAUGUAUGCUGUGGAAACUGAUGGACUAGAGUGCAGGAGAGGGCAGUGGAAUUCCAUGUGUAGCGGUAAAAUGCGUAGAUAUAUGGAGGAACACCGGUGGCGAAGGCGGCUGCCUGGCCUGUAACUGACGCUGAGGCACGAAAGCGUGGGGAGCAAAUAGGAUUAGAUACCCUAGUAGUCCACGCUGUAAACGAUGAGAACUAAGUGUUGGAGAAAGACUUCAGUGCUGCAGUUAACGCAAUAAGUUCUCCGCCUGGGGAGUAUGCACGCAAGUGUGAAACUCAAAGGAAUUGACGGGGGCCCGCACAAGCGGUGGAGUAUGUGGUUUAAUUCGAAGCAACGCGAAGAACCUUACCAGGUCUUGACAUGGCGCUAAAGGCCCUAGAGAUAAGGAGAUAGGCAUAGCGCACACAGGUGGUGCAUGGUUGUCGUCAGCUCGUGUCGUGAGAUGUUGGGUUAAGUCCCGCAACGAGCGCAACCCUUAUCGCAUGUUACCAACAGUAAGAUGGGGACUCAUGUGAGACUGCCGGUGACAAACCGGAGGAAGGCGGGGAUGACGUCAAAUCAUCAUGCCCCUUAUGGCCUGGGCGACACACGUACUACAAUGGCGACUACAGAGAGAAGCGAGACUGAGAAGUUAAGCGGAACCCAAAAAAGUCGUCCCAGUUCGGAUUGAAGUCUGCAACUCGACUUCAUGAAGCCGGAAUCGCUAGUAAUCGCGGAUCAGCAUGCCGCGGUGAAUACGUUCUCGGGCCUAAUACACACCGCCCGUCAAACCAUGGGAGUCGGUAAUGCCCGAAGCCGGUGGCACAACC